rnacentral:rRNA from 1 species
AUGAUCCCUACCUUAUUGACCGCAACUUCUGUAUUUAUUAUCGCCUUCAUCGCUGCUCCUCUAGUAGAUAUUGAUGGUAUUUGUGAGCCUGUUUUUGGUUCUUUACUUUAUGGAAACAAUAUUAUCUCUGGUGCUAUUAUCCCUACUUCCGCGGUGAUCGGAUUGCACUUUUACCCAAUUUGGGAAGAUGCAUCUGUUGAUGAAUGGUUAUACAAUGGUGGUCCUUAUGAGCUAAUUGUUCUACACUUCUUACUUAGUAUAGAUUGUUAUAUGGGUCGUGAGUGGGAACUUAGUUUCCGUCUGGGUAUGCGUUCUUGGAUUGUUGUUGCAUAUUCAGCUCCUGUUGCAGCUCCUACUACUGUUUUCUUGAUUUACCCUAUUGGUCAAGGAAGCUUUUCUGAUGGUAUGCCUUAG